rnacentral:rRNA from 1 species
AUUGAACGCUGGCGGCAGGCUUAACACAUGCAAGUCGAGCGGGGUGAUGGUGCUUGCACUAUCACUUAGCGGCGGACGGGUGAGUAAUGCUUAGGAAUCUGCCUAUUAGUGGGGGACAACAUCUCGAAAGGGAUGCUAAUACCGCAUACGUCCUACGGGAGAAAGCAGGGGAUCACUUGUGACCUUGCGCUAAUAGAUGAGCCUAAGCCGGAUUAGCUAGUUGGUGGGGUAAAGGCCUACCAAGGCGACGAUCUGUAGCGGGUCUGAGAGGAUGCUCCGCCACAGUGGGACUGAGACACGGCCCAGACUCCUACGGGAGGCAGCAGUGGGGAAUAUUGGACAAUGGGGGGAACCCUGAUCCAGCCAUGCCGCGUGUGUGAAGAAGGCCUUAUGGUUGUAAAGCACUUUAAGCGAGGAGGAGGCUCUUUUGGUUAAUACCCAAGAUGAGUGGACGUUACUCGCAGAAUAAGCACCGGCUAACUCUGUGCCAGCCGCCGCAGUAA